GAUGAACGCUGGCGGCGUGCCUAAUACAUGCAAGUCGAGCGAACAGACGAGGAGCUUGCUCCUCUGACGUUAGCGGCGGACGGGUGAGUAACACGUGGAUAACCUACCUAUAAGACUGGGAUAACUUCGGGAAACCGGAGCUAAUACCGGAUAAUAUAUUGAACCGCAUGGUUCAAUAGUGAAAGACGGUUUUGCUGUCACUUAUAGAUGGAUCCGCGCCGCAUUAGCUAGUUGUUAAGGUAACGGCUUACCAAGGCAACGAUGCGUAGCCGACCUGAGAGGGUGAUCGGACACACUGGAACUGAGACACGGUCCAGACUCCUACGGGAGGCAGCAGUAGGGAAUCUUCCGAGAUGGGCGAAAGCGUGACGGAGCAACGCCGCGUGAGUGAUGAAGGUCUUCGGAUCGUAAAACUCUGUUAAUAGGGAAGAACAAAUGUGUAAGUAACUAUGCACGUCUUGACGGUACCUAAACAGAAAGCCACGGCUAACUACG
rnacentral:rRNA from 1 species